UACAGGGGGGGCAAGCGUUGUUCGGAAUUACUGGGCGUAAAGGGCCAGUAGGCGGCCAACUAAGUCACACGUGAAAUCCCCGGGCUUAACCCGGGAACUGCGUGUGAUACUGGAUGGCUUGAAUUCGGGAGAGGGAUGCAGAAUUCCAGGUGUAGCGGUGAAAUGCGUAGAUAUCAGGAGGAACACCGGUGGCGAAGGCGGGUCUCUGGGCCGAUACUGACGCUGAGGAGCGAAAGCGUGGGGAGCAAACAGG
rnacentral:rRNA from 1 species